AUGAAGCUCCUUUGUUGGAACAUUAGGGGCUUCGGCCUCACUGGCCGGCGGCGGCAGCUCAUCGAGUAUUUGCGACAAGAAGAGAUUGACAUUGUGGGACUUCAGGAGACAAUUCGCCAGGACUUUAGUAGGCAUGAGCUCCAUGGGCUCUCCCGCCACUAGUUUGCCUAGUAGUGGUUGCCCGCUACGGGUUAAUCUGGAGGCAUCUUGCUCGGAGUCAGGGAGGAUGCUUUCUCGGUUGAGGAUAUGGACCAAGGGGAGUUCUUCUUGAGCAUGUCCGUCACCGACCGAUGA
rnacentral:rRNA from 1 species